rnacentral:rRNA from 1 species
GGAAUCUUCCACAAUGGGCGAAAGCCUGAUGGAGCAACGCCGCGUGUGUGAUGAAGGGUUUCGGCUCGUAAAACACUGUUGUAAGAGAAGAAUGACAUUGAGAGUAACUGUUCAAUGUGUGACGGUAUCUUACCAGAAAGGAACGGCUAAAUACGCGCCAG